UAAUACGUAGGGUGCGAGCGUUAAUCGGAAUUACUGGGCGUAAAGCGUGCGCAGGCGGUUUUGUAAGACAGAGGUGAAAUCCCCGGGCUCAACCUGGGAACUGCCUUUGUGACUGCAAGGCUAGAGUACGGCAGAGGGGGAUGGAAUUCCGCGUGUAGCAGUGAAAUGCGUAGAUAUGCGGAGGAACACCGAUGGCGAAGGCAAUCCCCUGGGCCUGUACUGACGCUCAUGCACGAAAGCGUGGGGAGCAAACAGGAUUAGAUACCCUGGUAGUCCACGCCCUAAACGAUGUCAACUGGUUGUUGGGUCUUAACUGACUCAGUAACGAAGCUAACGCGUGAAGUUGACCGCCUGGGGAGUACGGCCGCAAGGUUGAA
rnacentral:rRNA from 1 species